CGGCGGCGGCGGCGGCAGCGCGGGUGGGAGCCCAGGGCGCGGUGGCCGGCGGCCGGUCACGCCGGGCCACGGGGCCGUAUCUGCGGUCCCAGCGGGCGGCAAUUGGUCCAGGAGUUUCGGAUGCUCUGGCUUGGGCUCAGCUGAGAGCGAGUCGGCGUGAAUGGGAGCAGGCAAGCAGAGCUGUGCGUGCGCGCGUGUAAGAG
rnacentral:lncRNA from 1 species